rnacentral:rRNA from 1 species
GAUGAACGCUGGCGGCGUGCCUAACACAUGCAAGUCGAGCGAGAUAAAUGUGAGUGGAGACUUCGGUCAAAGCAAUCAUUUUGAAAGCGGCGGACGGGUGAGUAACGCGUGAGCAAUCUGCCCCAUACAAAGGGAUACCCACUGGAAACGGUGAUUAAUACCUUAUAAGACCACGAAGUCGCCUGGCUUAGUGGCCAAAGAUUUAUCGGUAUGGGAUGAGCUCGCGUCUGAUUAGCUAGUUGGUGAGGUAAUGGCUCACCAAGGCGACGAUCAGUAGCCGACCUGAGGGGGUGGACGGCCACACUGGAACUGAGACACGGUCCAGACUCCUACGGGAGGCAGCAGUGGGGAAUAUUGCACAAUGGGCGCAAGCCUGAUGCAGCAACGCCGCGUGAAUGAUGAAGGCCUUCGGGUCGUAAAGUUCUGUCCUAAGGGAAGAAUACAGUGACGGUACCUUAGGAGGAAGCCCCGGCUAACUACGUGCCAGCCGCCGCAGUAA